AUUGAACGCUGGCGGCAGGCCUAACACAUGCAAGUCGAGCGGAUGAAGGGAGCUUGCUCCUGGAUUCAGCGGCGGACGGGUGAGUAAUGCCUAGGAAUCUGCCUGGUAGUGGGGGAUAACGCCCGGAAACGGGCGCUAAUUCCGCAUACGUCCUGAGGGAGAAAGUGGGGGAUCUUCGGACCUCACGCUAUCAGAUGAGCCUAGGUCGGAUUAGCUAGUUGGUGGGGUAAAGGCCUACCAAGGCGACGAUCCGUAACUGGUCUGAGAGGAUGAUCAGUCACACUGGAACUGAGACACGGUCCAGACUCCUACGGGAGGCAGCAGUGGGGAAUAUUGGACAAUGGGCGAAAGCCUGAUCCAGCCAUGCCGCGUGUGUGAAGAAGGUCUUCGGAUUGUAAAGCACUUUAAGUUGGGAGGAAGGGCAGUAAGUUAAUACCUUGCUGUUUUGACGUUACCAACAGAAUAAGCACCGGCUAACUUCGUG
rnacentral:rRNA from 1 species